UACGUAGGGUGCGAGCGUUGUUCGGAAUUACUGGGCGUAAAGCGCGUGUAGGCGGCUCUGCAAGUCGGGUGUGAAAUCCCAUGGCUCAACCAUGGAAGUGCACUCGAAACUGCAGGGCUAGAGUCCUGGAGAGGAAGGUGGAAUGCUUGGUGUAGAGGUGAAAUUCGUAGAUAUCAAGCGGAACACCGGUGGCGAAGGCGGCCUUCUGGACAGUGACUGACGCUGAGACGCGAAAGCGUGGGGAGCAAACAGG
rnacentral:rRNA from 1 species